rnacentral:sRNA from 1 species
CAUGCGGGGAAGGAUGAGAAGCUUCGACCAAGGUUCGACUUGAGCGCCAGCGAGAGAGCGUUGCCGCAGGCAACGACCCGAAGGGCGAAGCGCGCAGCGCUGAGUAAUCCUUCCCCCACCACCA